UAAGGAAAUGGUAGCGUUUAAAACAAGCUGAUGUGUUUGAAAGACUGAAGGAAAAGAAAAUCCUACACCCCCGUGAGCAAACUGGAUGGCAGCAUGAAUCAGGCAUGAGGCAGGCAGACAGAGCCACAUUUUCAGUUGGACAAUCACUCAGCUCUCAAACUUCAGCUAGAGCUGCCAGGGCUAAUCACAUCUGCAGCUGCACGUAGAACUGGAGGAGGCAGGAAUCAGCCUGCACAAGACAGACAAAUAAUUAUCUAGCACUUCACUGAAUGGCAGAAAUGUGUGCUAGCUAAAAUACCCAGUGAGACUUCCCACCCCAAAUGGGAAAUGAAGAAAUGCCUUCAGGACACAGCAAGUUACAUAUUUUGCUACACUCUUGGAGCAGCUAUUGCUUCUCUUUGGACUUGCUAUAAAGCAGGGGAAUCACACUCACCUUGUGUCCCAGGCAGGAUGCAGACCAUAGAACUUCUUUCAGACUAAGUACUGACUAAGUACUAAUUUACCCCUAAAUUUCCUAACAUUAGCAGGCAUUCCAAAUAAGUAAGAACUAUCACAAAUUGACACCAUUCUUAAAAAGGAAUAGCUGCAAAAGAAUGAACGUUUGUGAUAGGGUAUCACAGCUCCAAUCAUUGCUACACAGGAUUAACAUCCUUGAUAAAAUACAGCACAUCUACAUUUCACAUAUGAAAUCAUGCAUCAGCAUGGAAAAAAAGCAUUCACUAAUUAUAUAGUCUAUAAAUGGCUGUUAGGCAGAUGCAUCUUCAAAAGGGGGAAAUCCAGACCCAACUGAUAUCAGUGAGCAUUGUGUUAUUGAUUUCACUGAAUCCAGGAUUUCACCCUUAAUCUCACUCAUUCUUACAAUGAAAAUAAUCUUUCAGCAUGAAAUAUAAAUACUAAGUGGAAUCUCUCCUCCUUUUAUUACUUUACAGGAAACAGGGCAAGAAAUGAAAAUGAGAAUUUCUGUACUAUUGUAACAACUUGCAUGAUUACAAGAAUUUAAUUAUUCAUCUUUCAAAAAGACUACAGUAAUUCCCAGCCUGAUUUACACCGUUAUGAAGAGAUAACCCAGUACAGGUCAUACAAGUUCCUGUCUACUAAUAACUAUUUCCAUUGCCACUAUCAGUUAUUGAACUUUUUGCUGCAACAAGGCAUAAUGCUUCAUAGUAAUUGUUGCAUAGAUUUCUAUCACUGCUAUAAAUUGAAUUCAUAUUUGAGAAAGGUGAGGUGAAUGAACUGCAGUGACUGAAAAAACAUCAUGGGAUUUAUCUUUAACAAAAAAGUAUGAACGUUCUGGAACUCAACCCCACUCUGUUUCAACUCUGCCUUUCUUACUCUAUGUGUCACACUCCCUCUAGCUGUUAUGUACAAAAAUUAUUUGUACCCUAUUAUAUUUCAAAAAAUACCAUUUACCUUUAAAUAAAAUGUUAGUUACACAGACUCCAAUCAUUCAGUCCUUGCCAGAAAGUAGGGCCCUAGCCACUAUGCAUUAAAGUACAUUAAAAAACCCAUUGACAAUAAUCUAGUUCCUCAGGGAUUUUUCUACAGUAACUCAUUUUCAUUGAGUAGAGGUCUAAAAAGCCAAUAGUCAUGAAAGUUUUGUUUAUUACAUCAUUGGUUUAUUCAUUCCACCACUAGCUGUGAAUUCUUGAAACCUGAUAUGUUUCAACCUAUGGUCUAUUUUAUACAGUCUGUGUCACACACACACACACACACACAAUUUUAUUCUUGAGUAUACAACUAUUUUGUAUUAUCCUCAUAACCUUAUAGGCAGCUUGAAACAAUGAUACAGAAGUGUAAACUAUGCUACUUUCAUUUAUCUGGUUUGACUAUUAAUUCUAAUGCCAGAUGAUGGCAACAGCUAUCUGAUAUCUCAUCAUUUUAGUGAUGGAAAGCAAGUAGAAGGGCAAGAAUGCAGCACAAAGUUGGGUAAGAAUUAGUAGUUGCUGCAUAGAAGAAAAUACAGAGGGGGAAAAGGAGGAGAUGCACAAAGAAAGGAUGGAGAAGGAGUAGAAGCAAAAGACAGAAGUAGGGAUCAUCAAUCAGUUGUAUAAUUAGUGUUGGGCAAGAGAGAUCAUGAGCCCAGGUGCUGACUAAGCAGAGGCACUGGAACAAAGGCACAGGGGCUUAAGACUUUGGUAGUUUCUGCAGCAGUGCAGAGAAUGAAAGCAGGAGGAAGUGACCAAAACCCAGUAGCCAGGGAAUGGAGAUAAGGGAGUUUGAGGCUCUGGAGCUAGGGGAGAGGGAGGAAGAGGGUGGAAGAGGGAGCCUGGGAAUUAAUUUGGCAUUUUAUAUAGUUGCUCAACAUGGCUUUCAGUGCCACCCUCAAGCCUGUCUGCCUACAGCCCCACCUGCUAGGUCAUGGCCACUUGCUCCUCUGCCAGUGCAAGCCAUACCUCCUGGAGCCUCCUCCCCACCUCACACCUGCACCCCCUGGUGGCUGGGUCCUGGCCACUUCCUACCACUCCAUCUUUACAGAUCCAUAGUCGCUUGAGCCUGGAACCCCUCCACCCACCUCUAUUCUAGUGUCCUCCUCUCUUGCUAGGUAUUCCUCUACUGCCCAGGUGCCAAAAAUAAUAGUGAUGGCAGUCUGUGGUAGGGCACCUAACAGGCAGCAGCAAGGUGCCUGAGGAGGGCAGACAUUUUGAGACCCAAGGAUAGAAGCUGGGCUGAAGUUUGCUGCAGGAAGAAGGAGAUAACAUCAAGCUGAGAGGCUGCUCUCUGGGAAUAUCAGGAGGCGUGACAGAAGAGUGAAUUGGGCAGUUACCCCAGGAGCAGGGCGGCCGGAAGAGACCCAACCCGACGAGGAUGCCACCCUGUUACACAGUCGUUCUAAACUUAAAGAUGCUGAAAAGUAUUGAAAAUAAUGUGAAAUAAUAACACUUUGGUGUUUAGUUACUACUUAAAUUAUACUCAACUCUUGAUCAUUGUGCAGAUUUUUUAGUUGUAUCAGUAGAAGUUCCAUUGGAGAAUGGUAGGAAUUUGCCAUCCCAAAUAUACAGCCUGGUCAAUACCCCAUGAUUAUAAGGGUUCAACCUUUCUUCAGCACUCUAUAUUAUUUCCUUUACCUGUCCACAUGAAUAUUAUUGGGAAUUCUCAUUAGUCUUGUAUUAAAAACCUUGAAAAUUUUUGUGCAUGACUCUGUAUGUCCACAUAUGAGGAGAGAUUGGCAAAACUACUUGAAGAAAGGUGAGAUUGACACUUGUUUACAUCUUUUUUAAAGUGUUUGAACCCUUUAUUUGUUUUUGAGCUAAACAAACUUUGUGUGAGGACUUACUGAUUUCUUAUUGCAAAGAAAAUUCACACUUACUAGCUAUCCUUAAAAGCACAACAGAACAACAAUCUUCAGGGAACAAAGUCUUCAAGUCAUUUGGGAUGAGGCAGAGUUUCCUAGGGAAGCCAAACAGAAUAGCAGGAAAUCUAGUGGUAAAUAAGUGAUUUCAUUUCCUGGCAUUUUGCCCAAACAGACUGCUCAACUGAGCAUUUUAGAACAUUCAGCUGAGAAUAAGAAAUCCAGACAAGGAAGAGAAAAUCCAACAAAGCAGCAGGGAGAUGGGGAAGCAGCAGGUGCUGAUAUAUAGAAGUAGUUAAUUCAGAAUGUAAAAGAAAAUAGAAGGAAGGGCGUUCUGAGCUUAGUGAAAUAAUUGUUGUCUAGGAGGAUAUGGGAGGAGUACAGACCCUUUGCAGAAACAGCAAUUUCCAUUCUUUGUGUGGAGUGAGCCAAUUCAAAAUGGAGAUUUGGUCAUUUUACAAAAUGCUUUUUGUUUCAACUUUAUAAACAACCCUUUUUGAAGCACUUUUGCCUCCAACGUUUGACUCCUUUCAGCUGUUCCUGAUCUUUUGUUUAAGAGAAUUGGAGGCAGAAAUUUUAAAAUUAUUCAUCCACUUUAAAAUGUGGAAAAGAGUUGUACUGUACUGUACACAGGUAUUUUUCUGUGUUAUUGAAUGACGAUGUGUUCAUAUGUUCUUUAUUUGAGGGUGUCCAUACUCUUUUGUCAUAAAAGAACAAAACAACCUGCUUUCUGUGCUUGUGUUUUAAAUGUGUGUGCAUGAAUCUUCUAACUGAAACUAUACUCAUGCAAUAGUACCUGGGAUCUAAUGCUAUAUAUGCUACAAGAAUGUAAGAAAUUCUUGAUUACUUUCUGGAAGAAACUCAUAUUAAAGUAGGAAUAGGCAUAAGCAAUAGAAAGUGAGCAUCUGGAGGCAGACGCACCACAAUUUAGGGUAUUCAACUCUGGAAUUUUAGGUUAAGUUCUUUUGCAGCUAAAAUAUAAGGUCAUUUUUUAAAUUAAGAGUCCCUACUUGUUGGAGAUGUCUUGGCAAUCUAUGUACACAAAGAACCUGGACUUCUUCCACCCUGAAAUUAAAAUUCCAGCAGUACUGAUUCAGUUUUUCCUUGUUAAAAAGCAAAUAAAUUGAGUUCCAUCAAUUCCAACAUGUGGAAGUGGGGCUUUUGGAUGGAAAAAAAAAAGCCUUAACAUUGAUUUGUCUCAGUGCAAAGCAGGCAUUUUUCAGUGGAGCAUUAACCAUUUAUCUUAGAACAUAUAAUUGCAUAUUUAGUGCAUUAACAUGUAUAUAGUCACAUGAUAAUUUUUUGUAUAAAUUCUUCUUCUAAGCUUU